AAGUCGUAACAAGGUUUCCGUAGGUGAACCUGCGGAAGGAUCAUUACAACGUCCAAAAGACAAACCAAUCGUGAACUCAGUACCCUUUGGACUAAAGGCAGAGCGGAUGUAAACCUUUUGUGAUGAAGGCGCCUCGGCGCCUUGGGUUGAUCCGAUCGCAGCAUUUCGGUGCUGACUUUGGCUUCCGAAGCGGUUUAUCUACAUCACUUCUAACAUUACUAAACCCUUUAACACUUUUGAACUGACUUGUUGUUAACGCGGUGCUCCUUUUUGGAGUGCUACUUAACAAUUGAUUACGUAAAUUACGAACAACUCUUAACAACGGAUAUCUUGGUUCUC
rnacentral:misc_RNA from 1 species